rnacentral:rRNA from 1 species
UACGAAGGGGGCUAGCGUUGCUCGGAAUUACUGGGCGUAAAGGGCGCGUAGGCGGCACUGUUAGUCAGGCGUGAAAGUCCUGGGCUCAACCUGGGAACUGCGCUUGAUACGGCAGAGCUAGAGUACGAAAGAGGAUCGCGGAAUUCCCGGUGUAGAGGUGAAAUUCGUAGAUAUCGGGAGGAACACCGGUGGCGAAGGCGGCGAUCUGGGUCGAUACUGACGCUGAGGUGCGAAAGCGUGGGGAGCAAACAGG